rnacentral:rRNA from 1 species
AUGGGCAGCUUCUUCCCCAACACCGGUCGCCGCGCUCAGCCGCCGGGUUCUCCUUCCUUGUUUGCCAUGGGUUUCUUUGCAAGUCUUGUAGUGUUCAUGCUGCUGAUAGCCCCUUCCAGACAACAAGCAUUGGAUCAGCCAUCGUAUGCAAGAACGUUCGAACUGGAAACAACCAAUUACAUUGAGGUGCCUAUUUGGUUGGACCAAACGGCAGACCUCACAAGAGCAUCACAAAUAGUUUUUCACCCGGUAUUACCGCCACAACAACUUCACCUGCCGCCACAUCCAUGGAUCUUCCAGCUUCUAAGGGGCCUUCCACUACCUGGAGGAAAUGGUCAUGAAGCCAUCGCGAUGGCUAUACGGCCAGACAACAGGUAUUGGCUCGGCUAUUUCACCUUUCGCACUGGUCGUUGGCAUGCGUUUGCGGGAGCGGAGGGAUUCUUCGAGAAUCCAAUUCCGCUGGGUUUCGACAGUAGCUACAAGACUCUGGUAGGAGGAUGGAAGAAUCUUCAGUACGUGCCAUUAGGGAAAACUGCGGCAGAGCAGGCGGUUACAGCGCUCUAUUGGUCUAACUUCGGAACCAAGAGAACAAAGAAAGCUCUUAAGAAGUCAGCAGCAGGACUGCUGGUAAUGUUUCUCGAGGGCCACCGGUUUUUCCCCAUCAGGAACCACGUGGAGCAACACUGGAAUUCAGACAAGCCAGUAUUCCUUUCUGAAAAACUAGCCCGGUUGGUGGUCAACUGGUCUGACAUUAGCUGCUCAAUAUCAUAUUGGGCUGUCACCGGCGAUUGGGCGUCCGGAGACGACGCACAAUACCUCAUUGGAUUGAACAUCGGGGUGAGCACCGUGGGGGAAGCGCUUUCAACUAUCUACCCAAUUCUGCAGGCAACAUCCUGCAGGCAGUAUCCAUGA